rnacentral:ncRNA from 1 species
CACCUGGUUGAUCCUGCCAGUAGUCAUAUGCUUGUCUCAAAGAUUAAGCCAUGCAUGUCUAAGUAUAAGCUUUAAACGGCGAAACUGCGAAUGGCUCAUUAAAACAGUUAUAGUUUAUUUGGUGAUCGAUUACUAUUUGGAUAACCGUAGUAAUUCUAGAGCUAAUACAUGCGUCAAGGCCCGACUUCGGAAGGGCUGCGUUUAUUAGAUACAGAACCAACCUAGGCUCCGCCUAGUCCUUGUUGGUGAUUCAUAAUAACCCGGCGAAUCGCACGGCUUGUCCGGCGAUGGACCAUUCAAGUUUCUGACCUAUCAGCUAUGGACGGUAGGGUAUUGGCCUACCGUGGCGUUGACGGGUAACGGGGAAUUAGGGUUCGAUUCCGGAGAGGGAGCCUGAGAAACGGCUACCACAUCUAAGGAAGGCAGCAGGCGCGCAAAUUACCCAAUCCUGAUACAGGGAGGUAGUGACAAGAAAUAACAAUACAGGGCAAUUCUGUCUUGUAAUUGGAAUGAGUAGAUUUUAAAUCUCUUUACGAGUAUCAAUUGGAGGGCAAGUCUGGUGCCAGCAGCCGCGGUAAUUCCAGCUCCAUAGCGUAUAUUAAAGUUGUUGCGGUAAAAAGCUCGUAGUUGGAUUUCUGCCUUGGGCGACCGAU